AAAAUGUCAAACUGCCCGAAAAAAUUGUUUGACUGAAAAAGAUGGUUCGAUAACAAAACACACUGGUGGUUCUAUUCCUGUUGGGGCACAUAGGCAAAAAAUGGAAAAAGAACUUGGUAGAGAAGUGACUGAUCUUGAGCUAUUUCAAAGAUGUCAUAGAAAGAAUAAAGGAAUCGGGGAGUUCAUCGACAACAAAUCCAAAAGAAUUAGUGAAGAAUACCUUGAAAAAACGGGUUGUACUGAUGUUUCUUCAUAGUCUUCAUU